ensembl:snoRNA
AUCCUUCAGUUCAUGAGCAUGAUGAUUGGGUGUUCAUGCUGUAUGCCUGAGAUGUGCCUCCCUCAAACCUUGUUACGAGGUUGGCACAUUACCCACCUGAUC